UUAGCCAUGAGCAACGAGUGCUGCAGAAAUAGCUCCUGUGCAAAGGUUCCCCUGAGGAGGCCCGGAGACUGUGGCCAGACUUCCCCGGCUGUGUGCCAGGCAGCAAAUUUACACUCUUCUUAAUGUCAUGCUCUUUGGAAAUGCUCUUCUCAGUGGCCGCUAUUUACCUUUGGCCAUUUUCUGUUACUGCAGUGGGGGAAUGGCAUGGUGACCAGGUGGGAAAAGGCCAGAAGCACAGAGUAGGGCUGUAACACUCCCCUGGACACCAAAACAGCGAGGUGAUGGGGCAGCCGAAGCAGGCCCACAGAGACCUCCAAGCAAUGGUAAGAAAUCAGGUGCACCAAAUCCAGCAGGGUGGUCAAUGAGCCCAGUCUUCAUCAAGAAGUAAGACCUGGAUUUAGCAAUCUUCUAUCAAAAACUGCAGCAAGAAACAUGGCUAUCACCUUUUGUGUUUCCAUGUGAUUUGUACUGUUCAACAGACAAAAAGGCUUCACGCUGAAGCCUUAACAUUUUCAGGAGCUGGAAUAAGUGUUUUAUCCCUCAUUGGUGGAAUAGCAGGCUAAUGGCUCUGCUGCAGAGAAAAGAGAGCUGCCAGGGCUCAGCUGAAGGGAUCUGAGCAUUCUGAGGAGCUCAGGAAGAGAAGGUCCAGCCACCUCCAGAACAAGCUGGACAGACCCUCGAGGGGAGAUUUGACCAAAUCACCGCUCAGCUCCAAAAAGCAGAGGUCUGAACAAAGGCUCACUCCAGGACAGCCAAAUGGUGACAGGAUAUAGCAAAAAAGCCAAGUCUAAAAACUUGCACUACGGGACCAAAUACAGGCUCAAAAUAUGAUGAUGGCUUUGUAAAAUGUCUUUUUCUGAGCAAGGAGAGCUGCAUGUGUCUCUUGUGCUCCAGAUGACUGAUGGAAGGACCAGAGGAUAGAGCUGGCUGCUGGCU